rnacentral:rRNA from 1 species
AUGAACGCUGGCGGCGUGCCUAACACAUGCAAGUCGAACGGAUUUGUCGCUGACAAAGCUUCGGUAGAGUCUGAACAAAGUUAGUGGCGGACGGGUGAGUAACGCGUGGGCAACCUGCCUCAUACUGGGGGAUAACAGCUGGAAACGACUGUUAAUACCGCAUAAGCGCACAGCAUCGCAUGAUGCAGUGUAGAAAAACUCCGGUGGUAUGAGAUGGGCCCGCGUCAGAUUAGCUAGUUGGUAAGGUAACGGCUUACCAAGGCGACGAUCUGUAGCCGGACUGAGAGGUCGGACGGCCACAUUGGGACUGAGACACGGCCCAAACUCCUACGGGAGGCAGCAGUGGGGGAUAUUGCACAAUGGAGGAAACUCUGAUGCAGCGACGCCGCCGUGAGUGAAGAAGUAUCUCGGUAUGUAAAGCUCUAUCAGCAGGGAAGAAAGGCCCGAAAGGGAGAUGACGGUACCUGACUAAGAAGCCCCGGCUAACUACGUGCCAGCAGCCGC